AGUGAACGCUGGCGGUAGGCCUAACACAUGCAAGUCGAACGGCAGCACAGUAAGAGCUUGCUCUUACGGGUGGCGAGUGGCGGACGGGUGAGGAAUACAUCGGAAUCUACUUUUUCGUGGGGGAUAACGUAGGGAAACUUACGCUAAUACCGCAUACGACCUACGGGUGAAAGCAGGGGAUCUUCGGACCUUGCGCGAUUGAAUGAGCCGAUGUCGGAUUAGCUAGUUGGCGGGGUAAAGGCCCACCAAGGCGACGAUCCGUAGCUGGUCUGAGAGGAUGAACAGCCACACUGGAACCUAGACACGGGCCCGACUCCUACGGGAGGGCACAGGUGGGAAUAGUUGGCAAUGGGCGAAAGGCUGAACCAGCCAAACCGCGUGGGGUAAGAAGGGCUUUGGGGUGGAAAACCCUUUUUGUGGGGAAGAAAAGCAGCAGGUUAAUACCCCGCUGUUCUGACGGUACCCAAAGAAUAAGCACCGGCUAACUUCGUG
rnacentral:rRNA from 1 species